CAAGUGCAAGGCGUGGCGUGAGCGGCAGAACUCGCAUCACAGAAUUUUCGAACACAAUUGGCGCCUUCUCG
rnacentral:rRNA from 1 species